AUCAACUUUCGAUGGUAGGAUAGAGGCCAACCAUGGUGGUAACGGGUAACGGGGUGUUAGGGCACGACACCGGAGAGGGAGCCUGAGAAACGGCUACCACAUCCAAGGAAGGCAGCAGGCGCGCAAAUUACCCAAUCCCGACACGGGGAGGUAGUGACAAUAAAUAACAAUACAGGGUUCUUUUGGAUCUUGUAAUUGGAAUGAGUACAAUUUAAAUCUCUUAACGAGGAACAAUUGGAGGGCAAGUCUGGUGCCAGCAGCCGCGGUAAUUCCAGCUCCAAUAGCGUAUAUUAAAGUUGUUGCAGUUAAAAAGCUCGUAGUUGAAUUUCGGGAUCAAUAUUUCGGUCAUGCCGUUGGUAUGCACUGUUAUCAUUGAUUUCUCACCUUCUAAAGAACCGUGAUGCCAUUAAUUUGGUGUUACGGGGAAUUAGGACCGUUACCUUGAAAAAAUUAGAGUGUUUAAAGCAGGCUCACGCUUGAAUACAUUAGCAUGGAAUAAUGAAAUAGGACAUCCGAUUCUAUUUUGUUGGUUUCUAGGAUCGAUGUAAUGAUUAAUAGGGAUAGUUGGGGGCAUUAGUAUUCAAUUGUCAGAGGUGAAAUUCUUGGAUUUAUUGAAGACUAACUACUGCGAAAGCAUUUUGCCAAGGAUGUUUUCAUUAAUCAAGAACGAAAGUUAGGGGAUCGAAGACGAUCAGAUACCGUUCGUAGUCUUAACCAUAAACUAUGCCGACUAGGGAUCGGAUGAUGUUAUUUUUUAAUGACUCAUUCUGCGCCUACGGGAAACCAAAGUGUUUGGGUU
rnacentral:rRNA from 1 species